rnacentral:rRNA from 1 species
UGCGUAGGCGGAUUAAUAAGUCAGUGGUGAAAUCUUUCGGCUCAACCGAGAAACUGCCAUUGAUACUGUUAAUCUUGAGUUCGGUUGAGGUAGGCGGAAUGUGUAAUGUAGCGGUGAAAUGCUUAGAUAUUACACAGAACACCAAUUGCGAAGGCAGCUUACUAGACCGACACUGACGCUGAGGCACGAAAGCGUGGGGAGCGAACAGGAUUAGAUACCCUGGUAGUCC